AGCAGCCGCGGUAAUUCCAGCUCCAAUAGCGUAUAUUAAAGUUGUUGCAGUUAAAAGCUCGUAGUUGAAUUUCGGGACCAAUUUGUUGGUCGUGCCUCGGUACGUACUGGUAUUAUUGGUUUCUCCUUUCUGAAGAACCUCGAUGCCAUUAAUUUGGUGUCGUGGGGAAUCAGGACUGUUACUUUGAAAAAUUAGAGUGUUUAAAGCAAGCAUACGCUUGAAUCAUUAGCAUGGAAUAAUGAAAUAGGACGUUUGAUUCUAUUUUGUUGGUUUCUAGGAUCGACGUAAUGAUUAAUAGGGAUAGUUGGGGGCAUUAGUAUUCAAUUGUCAGAGGUGAAAUUCUUGGAUUUAUUGAAGACUAACUACUGCGAAAGCAUUUGCCAAGGAUGUUUUCAUUAAUCAAGAACGAAA
rnacentral:rRNA from 1 species